UGCUGGUCUUUUUAUCAAUGGUUCUGGUACUAUCAAUGGCAAUGGUCAACGAUGGUGGGAUACUCCUAGCCGUACCAGGGUCAACGGAACUUGCACUAAACCAACGGUUGUUCAAUUUAAUUACUGUAAUGGACUUCGAUUGAAUGGAAUAAAGCUAGUGAAUAGUUCAAGGGACCAUAUAAUUCUUACUUAUAACAAGGGAGUAACGAUCUCAAAUAUUCAUAUAAGUGCACCAAAUUAUAGUCGUAAUACCGAUGG
rnacentral:misc_RNA from 1 species